rnacentral:rRNA from 1 species
GACAGAGGGGGCAAGCGUUGCUCGGAAUUACUGGGCGUAAAGGGCGCGUAGGCGGGAUGGCAAGUCGGUCGUGAAAUCCCUCGGCUCAACCGAGGAACGUCGAUCGAUACUGCUGUUCUUGAGGAUUGCAGAGGAGACUGGAAUUCCCGGUGUAGCGGUGAAAUGUGUAGAGAUCGGGAGGAACACCGGUGGCGAAGGCGGGUCUCUGGACAGUUCCUGACACUGAGGCACGAAGGCUAGGGGAGCAAACGGG